GAUGAACGCUAGCUACAGGCUUAACACAUGCAAGUCGCGGGGCAGCAUGGGGGUUGCUUGCAAUCCCCGAUGGCGACCGGCGCACGGGUGAGUAACGCGUAUCCAACCUGCCCUUCACCACGGGAUAACCCGGCGAAAGUCGGACUAAUACCGUAUGUUGUCCAUUGACGGCAUCCGAUUUGGACGAAAGGUUUGGCGGUGAAGGAUGGGGAUGCGUCCGAUUAGCUGGACGGCGGGGUGACGGCCGCCCGUGGCGACGAUCGGUAGGGGUUCUGAGAGGAACGUCCCCCACACUGGAACUGAGACACGGUCCAGACUCCUACGGGAGGCAGCAGUGAGGAAUAUUGGUCAAUGGGCGUAAGCCUGAACCAGCCAAGUAGCGUGCAGGAUGACGGCCCUAUGGGUUGUAAACUGCUUUUAUGCGGGGAUAAAGUGGCCCACGUGUGGGUUUUUGCAGGUACCGCAUGAAUAAGGACCGGCUAAUUCCGUG
rnacentral:rRNA from 1 species